UUCUCUUUUUGUGUUUCAGUGUGACAGCGACAGUGAUCAAGAAGAAAAGGAUGUUCCUUAUGCAGAGGAAGAUGAUAAACGGAAUUUCAGCUUCUCUGUUUAUGGCACCCAGAACUAAAAGUGCAAUUUCCUGUCACUGCAGCAUUUAUGGAGCUGAACCUCUGCCUGUCUCACUGAAUUUUUCUCUUGCAGCACUCCUGUGUAAAAAGGAAUCACUGUGUAAUAAAACUCCUAAGCACAUUUUCACAAGUGCAGAAGCACUAAUUCACCUUUGUAAGAGACUGAGAGGCAGAAGGACCCAGCAAUAUGCUGAGCAAUAAACCACCAUAGGGCUCUUUAACUGAUCGCUGCCUACAGCACUUGGAUAAAUUUCUAAGGACAUGCAGAACAAUGAAACAGUGAAGCA
rnacentral:lncRNA from 1 species